AGUGGAGGCGCCAUUGGGGCUACAAGCUCGCCUGGGAUGACACUAAGGAAUGGGUGAUCGAGGUGCCUGGGAGCUCCAACCCCAUGGAAGACCAGUUCGCCAAGAGGACUCAGGCCAAGAAAGAACGCGUGGCCAAGAAUGAGCUGAACCGUCUGCGGAACCUGGCUCGCGUGCACAAGAUGCAGAUGCCCAGCUCAGCCGGCCUGCACCCUACUGGACACCAGAGUAAGGAGGAGCUGUGCCUUGCCAUGCAAGUGGCCAAGGUUUCCACUGAUUCGGUGGGAUGCUUCCAGGAGUGCCUUCCCAAGGAGAAAGCUCCCCGGGGCUCCUGCAAGAAGAGGAAGUUUCAGCCCUUCUUUGGGGACUUUGCAGCCUAGAUAAAAGAACCAGUUGGAGCUACUUUGAGUCAUGAACAGCAAGAAACCUCGGCUGGACGUGACAAGGGCCACCAACAAGCAGAUGAGGGAAGAGGACCAAGAGGAGGCUGCCAAGAGGAGGAAAAUGAGCCAGAAAGCCCACAUGAAGAACAAAUGGAAGUGAGUAUCAUCAUCUGAACAACUGAGUAAUAUCCACUGCUGCUAGCGUGGUUCUGUGCCGAUGAUAAUCUUAGCUUCCUUUAGUGUUGCAGCCCCAGCAGGAAGUAUUAAGUGCUGAGGCCAGAGCUCAGAUAACCUUUCAAGGGGCUAGACAGAAGCCAUCAGAGACUCUCCACUUCCUUGUCCUGAGAUGAAAUCCAGGAACACAAUGUGAACUUGGUGGCUAAUUAACCAUACAUCACACUUCUACCUCCACCUUUCUAUGUUCAUUACAGGAAAGUGUUUAUGCACCUCCAUGCCAGAUUUAUCUUGAUAUAUGUCGCAGGGCGCAGACUUUUUAGAGAGUUGCGUAUAGUCAAGCAGUUGGUGCCCUCAGUAAGAUGUCAAGACUAUCAAUAACAAGUGACCACACUGUAUUUGUUAAAAAAGUUCAUUAUCGGGAUUAUGGAUCUGGACGUCUGCAUGUGGUUGCUGGUUUAGGGUGCUGCUGUAGUGGCAGUAUGUCCCGCUGCUGUCCAGAAGUGAGGGAUCUGAACUGCAGCAAGAGCCAUGGAGGGCCAGUGGGUGGAGGAGCUGCUGGCCAAGGCAGAGCAGGAGGAGGCUGAGAAGCUGCAGGGUAUCAAGGUGCACAAGGAGCUGGAGCUGGGCAACCUGCUGGCUUUGAAAGGCAACCCCUGACUGUGCUGUGCCAGGCUGGGCCAUCGCAGGAGGUGGAGCUGCAGGCCCUGGAGUGGGACAACAGGCAGCUGCUCAUCAACCAGCUGUGGGGGCUGCCAACCGAGCGCGUGGAGGAGGCAGUGGUCGCGCGUUUGCUGGAGCCCGCCACUCGCCUGCCCCGCGAGAAGCUGCUGCCCCGACCAUGGCCGCUCACAUGCUGGCAGCAGUUCGCGCGCCUUAAGGGAAUCCAUCCCAAGAAGAAGACCAACCUCGUGUUGGACAAGAAGUGUGGCCAGUGGCGG
rnacentral:lncRNA from 1 species